GGCCUGGUGGUGUAGUGGGAACACAACCUCUUGAUUUUCAAGAUUUUGAGAGACUUUGAGGGAGACCCCUGUUCAAUUCGGGGCUGGGCCA